CGAAAGUAAAGGAACUAAAUUAGCCUUACUUUAUUUCUCUUUCAAUAGGGCAUCAGCAGGAGGAGGGGAAAAGAUUUUAUCGGUUGCAGAUGGGGAUGCGUCUGAUUAGGUAGUUGGUAGGGUAACGGCCUACCAAGCCAACGAUCAGUAGGGGUUCUGAGAGGAAGGUCCCCCACAUUGGAACUGAGACACGGUCCAAACUCCUACGGGAGGCAGCAGUGAGGAAUAUUGGUCAAUGGACGAGAGUCUGAACCAGCCAAGUAGCGUGUAGGAUGACUGCCCUAUGGGUUGUAAACUACUUUUAUGCGGGAAUAAAGUGAGGCACGUGUGCUUUUUUGCAUGUACCGCAUGAAUAAGGACCGGCUAAUUCCGUGCC
rnacentral:rRNA from 1 species